rnacentral:rRNA from 1 species
UGACAAACACGUACGCAACCUUCCUUUAACUGGAGAAUAGCCCGGGGAAACCCGGAUUAAUACUCCGUAACAUUAUGAAGUGGCAUCACUUUAUAAUUAUAGCUCCGGCGGUUGAAGAUGGGCGUGCGUCUGAUUAGGUAGUUGGCGGGGUAACGGCCCACCAAGCCUACGAUCAGUAACUGGUGUGAGAGCACGACCAGUCACACGGGCACUGAGACACGGGCCCGACUCCUACGGGAGGCAGCAGUAAGGAAUAUUGGUCAAUGGACGCAAGUCUGAACCAGCCAUGCCGCGUGGAGGAUGAAGGUCCUCUGGAUUGUAAACUUCUUUUAUUUGGGAAGAAACCACCGAUUUCUAUUGGUGUUGACGGUACCAGAUGAAUAAGCACCGGCUAACUCCGUGCCAGCAGCCGCGGUAAUACGGAGGGUGCAAGCGUUAUCCGGAUUCACUGGGUUUAAAGGGUGCGUAGGCGGGUUGGUAAGUCCGUGGUGAAAUCUCCAAGCUUAACUUGGAAACUGCCGUGGAUACUAUCAAUCUUGAAUAUCGUGGAGGUGAGCGGAAUAUGUCAUGUAGCGGUGAAAUGCUUAGAUAUGACAUAGAACACCCAUUGCGAAGGCAGCUCGCUACACGGUUAUUGACGCUGAGGCACGAAAGCGUGGGGAUCAAACAGGAUUAGAUACCCUGGUAGUCCACGCCCCUAAACGAUGAUUACUCGACAUCAGCGAUACACUGUUGGUGUCUGAGCGAAAGCAUUA